rnacentral:rRNA from 1 species
GAUGAACGCUAGCGAUAGGCUUAACACAUGCAAGUCGAGGGGCAGCAUGGUCUUAGCUUGCUAAGACUGAUGGCGACCGGCGCACGGGUGCGUAACGCGUAUGCAACUUGCCUCACAGAGGGGGAUAACCCGUCGAAAGACGGACUAAUACCGCGUACACUCCAUCUUGGGCAUCCAAGGUAGAGGAAAUGAAAUUCGCUGUGAGAUAGGCAUGCGUCCCAUUAGCUAGUUGGUGAGGUAACGGCUCACCAAGGCGACGAUGGGUAGGGGAACUGAGAGGUUGAACCCCCACACUGGUACUGAGACACGGACCAGACUACUACGGGAGGCAGCAGUGAGGAAUAUUGGUCAAUGGGCGAGAGCCUGAACCAGCCAAGUCGCGUGAAGGAUGACUGUCUUAUGGAUUGUAAACUUCUUUUAUACGGGAAUAACAAGAGUCACGUGUGACUCCCUGCAUGUACCGGAUGAAUAAGCAUCGGCUAACUCCGUG